rnacentral:lncRNA from 7 species
AAACCAAAUUUAGACAAUCGAACGUCCUGUAUGGCGUGGUGGCGCCCAACAACGAAGUUCCGAUAAAAUAUCGGUCCAUCAUCAGCGCCGCCGUGCAUCCACCAGUCGCCGUUCAGGGCCACCGUCGUGCAUCCACUAGUCGUCGUGCAUCCACCAGCAGCGGCCAUGCCUGCGUUCAAGGCCCUGGCGUCGGGCUUCGCCGUGCCCAAAACUAGCAAGUUAGCUCCGGCCACCAUAGCCACGCGCUACGCCCCUGAUGGGGCAACUUUGACGCUGGUGAAGCUGGAUUGCGGACGGCGGGGACCAGCUCGUUUCCAACGCCGAUGAACAGACAUGAGCGCUGGGAGCGCUCGGCUGUGCCUGAUGCCGACGAGUGCGUGGUCGUCGACCAGGCGCAGUCGCGGGGCUCGUCUUGGCUGACGCAGAGGCCGCCGUGCUGCCCGCGGUAUUCUUGUAGCUUCGAUUUCUUUUCUUGUGCCCAAUUGGAGUGAAGCUGUGGAAGAAAGGCGACAACAGCUUGCAAUGCACAUGUUUGACGAAAUGGUUGAGCAGAAGAACAGAAAAAUAAACCGUUGUUUUCAUGCUA